UGAAUGUUUUCCCAUCAGUAAGAAUCCUCCAAUCUUUUUAGCACGCAAUAAUGGCACUCUGGUUGAACCUCAUAUUCUUGUUAGUUGUCCUCAAAGGUGUCCAAUCUGAGGUCCAGUUGGUGGAGUCCGGAGGGGAUGUGAGAAGACCCGGGGAGUCCCUCCGUCUCUCCUGCCAAGCCUCUGGAUUCACCUUCAGCAGCUUCUGGAUGCACUGGGUGAGACAGGCUCCAGGGAAAGGCCUGGAAUGGGUGGCCUACAUACGUAUAGGCUCAUCUCCUUCCACUUACUACUCUGACAAAGUCAAGGGACGCUUCACCAUCUCCAGGGACGAUGCCAAAAGCCAGCUGUAUCUGCAAAUGAACAGCCUCAAACUGGAGGACACGGCUGUCUAUUACUGUGCGAGACACACAGUGGGAGGAACAACUUCUGAAGGCAAGCUGAUCGGUCAGUGUACAGAACUCUUAACAGUUGAAUCUCUCCUCAAUCCUUCUUGA